AGAGUUUGAUCAUGGCUCAGGACAAACGCUGGCGGGGUGCAUGAGACAUGCAAGUCGAACGGGGUUGAUCGGGCUUGCUCGAUCAACCUAGUGGCGAACGGCUGAGUAACGCGUAGGUGACCUACCCGGAAGUGGGGAAUAACUGCCCGAAAGGGUGGCUAAUACCGCAUGUGGUCGGCGAAUCAGAUCGCCGUCCAAAGCCGAAAGGCGCUUCCGGAGGGGCCUGCGUCCGAUUAGCUAGUUGGCGAGGUAACGGCUCACCAAGGCGACGAUCGGUAGCUGGUCUGAGAGGAUGAUCAGCCAGACUGGGACUGAGAACGGCCCAGACUCCUACGGGAGGCAGCAGUCGGGAAUUUUGCCCAAUGGACGAAAGUCUGAGGCAGCAACUCCGCGUGAGGGAUGAAGGCUUUCGGGUCGUAAACCUCUUUUCCCAGGGAAGAUCCAAGACGGUACCUGGGGAAUAAGCCACGGCUAACUUCGUGCCAGCAGCCGCGGUAAUUC
rnacentral:rRNA from 1 species